CUAAGAAUAUUCCGCAAUGGACGGAAGUCUGACGGAGCGACGCCGCGUGGAUGACGAAGGCCGAAAGGUUGUAAAGUUCUUUUGCUGGGGAAGAAUAACCGCAGGAGGGAAUGCCUGUGGGAUGACAAGAACCGGCGAAUAAGCCCCGGCCAACUACGUGCCAGCAGCCGCGGUAACACGUAGGGGGGCGAGCGUUGUUCGGAAUUACUGGGCGUAAAGGGCUUGUAGGCGGCUUGGAAAGCCUGGCGUGAAAGUCUGCAGCUUAACUGCAGGGGUGCGCUGGGAACUGCUGAGCUUGAGUGACGGAGAGGGAGCUGGAAUUCCUGGUGUAGGGGUGAAAUCUGUAGAUAUCAGGAAGAACACCGAUGGCGAAGGCAAGCUCCUGGCCGAUGACUGACGCUGAGGUGCGAAAGUGUGGGGAUCAAACAGGAUUAGAUACCCUGGUAGUCCACACAGUCAACGAUGUGCACUAGGUGCUGGGGCGGUAGCUUCGGUGCCGGAGCGAACGUGGUAAGUGCACCGCCUGGGGAGUAUGCUCGCAAGGGUGAAAACUCAAAUGAAUUGACGGGGGUC
rnacentral:rRNA from 1 species